rnacentral:rRNA from 1 species
UACGGAGGAUCCAAGCGUUAUUCGGAGUGACUGGGCGUAAAGAGUUGCGUAGGGGGUUUGUUAAGCAAAUAGUGAAAUCUUGUGGCUCAACCAUGAGGCUAUUAUUUGAACUGGCAGACUUGAGAGUAUGAGAGGUAGAUGGAAUUUCUAGUGUAGGAGUGAAAUCCGUAGAUAUUAGAAGGAACACCAAUGGCGUAGGCAGUCUACUGGCAUAUUUCUGACCCUGAGGCACGAAAGCGUGGGGAGCGAACCGG